AGAGUUUGAUUCUGGCUCAGAAUCAACGCUGGCGGCGCGCCUAACACAUGCAAGUCGAACGAGAAAGUGGAGCAAUCCAUGAGUACAGUGGCGUACGGGUGAGUAACACGUGGGUGAUCUACCUCUUAGUGAGGAAUAACCCUGGGAAACCGGGGCUAAUACCGCAUAAGCCUGAGAAGGGAAAGCAGCAAUGCGCUGAGAGAGGAGCCCGCGGCCGAUUAGCUAGUUGGUGAGGUAAAAGCCCACCAAGGCAGAGAUCGGUAGCCGGCCUGAGAGGGCACACGGCCACACUGGCACUGAAACACGGGCCAGACUCCUACGGGAGGCAGCAGUGGGGAAUCUUGCACAAUGGGGGAAACCCUGAUGCAGCGACGCCGCGUGAGCGAUGAAGCCCUUCGGGGUGUAAAGCUCUUUCGUCAGGGAAGAUUAUGACGGUACCUGGAGAAGCAGCUGCGGCUAACUACGUGCCAGCAGCCGCGGUAAUACGUAGGCAGCAAGCGUUGUUCGGAGUUACUGGGCGUAAAGGGUGUGUAGGCGGUUCUUUAAGUUUGGUGUGAAAUCUCCCGGCUCAACCGGGAGGGUGCGCCGAAUACUGAGGGACUAGAGUGUGGGAGAGGAAAGUGGAAUUCCUGGUGUAGCGGUGAAAUGCGUAGAUAUCAGGAGGAACACCGGUGGUGUAGACGGCUUUCUGGACCAUAACUGACGCUGAGACACGAAAGCGUGGGUAGCAAACAGGAUUAGAUACCCUGGUAGUCCACGCCCUNNNCGAUGCAUAUUUGGUG
rnacentral:rRNA from 1 species